UGGGGAAUCUUGGACAAUGGGGGCAACCCUGAUCCAGCCAUGCCGCGUGAGUGAUGAAGGCCUUAGGGUCGUAAAGCUCUUUCGCCUGUGAAGAUAAUGACGGUAGCAGGUAAAGAAACCCCGGCUAACUCCGUGCCAGCAGCCGCGGUAAUACGGAGGGGGUUAGCGUUGUUCGGAAUUACUGGGCGUAAAGCGCACGUAGGCGGACCAGAAAGUUGGGGGUGAAAUCCCGGGGGCUCAACCCCGGAACUGCCUCCAAAACUAUUGGUCUAGAGUUCGAGAGAGGUGAGUGGAAUUCCAAGUGUAGAGGUGAAAUUCGUAGAUAUUUGGAGGAACACCAGUGGCGAAGGCGGCUCACUGGCUCGAUACUGACCUGAGGUGCGAAAGUGUGGGGAGCAAACAGGAUUAGAUACCCUGGUAGUCCACACCGUAAAACGAUGAAUGCCAGUCGUCGGGUAGCAUGCUAUUCGGUGACACACCUAACGGAUUAAGCAUUCCG
rnacentral:rRNA from 1 species